AUCAUAGCAGUGGUAUUUUUUAUGUUUCAAUUCGAAGUAUUAAACAAUUUGAUAAAAUUGAAGUGGGAUACAGAAAGCUCACAAUUUUUAAGGAGAACAAAUACCUCAUGGGUUUUCUUGGGAGAUUCGACCAUGAAUCGACUAUUUGACUCUAUAAUAAAAACAAAGAGAUCGUGCAAAAGCGUCAAACGAGCACCUGGCCGAUGUAAUCUUUUACCAUAUCUGGGUCAGAAAAAACGCAAGAAAUGGACAAAACCAUCUAAAAAUGAAGGACCUCAUAUGUAUGGAUUGAAUCACCCAUUUUGUACGGAUUGGUCAUGGAUGCAACAGUGAACUUUAUGACUGUGGCAAACACACUUUCGAAUAUAUUUCAGUUGAAUUCGCCCGAGAUGUAGAAAUACAGACACCGACGAGUAAUACUACACAAGAAGCCAUUGCUCAAUACCUACAACUAAAGGAGUGUGAUAUAUUUUGUAAAUGUGUUGUUAAUUCCGGAAUUCAUGAUAUGGCUCUUCCUCACCUAACCGACCAACUAUAUGUUAAACAUGUACACUUCUACGUGCAACAAUUGGUUAAUUCUUGUCAGAACGUAGUUUGGAUGUCAAUGACUGCAGUAAGAGGAGACAAAGGUUUUCCUCAGAAUAAUGGCAGAAUUCAUCGGUGGAAUAUGUUAAUUAAAGGCAUGUUACAUAAGAACUUUCCAAAAG
rnacentral:lncRNA from 1 species